CCUACGGGGUGCAGCAGUGGGGAAUAUUGCGCAAUGGGGGAAACCCUGACGCAGCAACGCCGCGUGAGUGAAGAAGUAUCUCGGUAUGUAAAGCUCUAUCAGCGGGGAAGAAGGAAGACGGUACCCGACUAAGAAGCCCCGGCUAACUACGUGCCAGCAGCCGCGGGAAUACGGGGGAUGCAAGCGUUAUCCGGAUUUAGUGGGUUUAAAGGGUACGUAGGCUGUGAGGUAAGUCAGCGGUGAAAUGCCCCCGGUCAACGGGGUGAAGUGCCAUUGAUACUGCCUUGCUGGAAUGCGGAUGCGGUGGGAGGAAUGUGUGGUGUAGCGGUGAAAUGCAUAGAUAUCACACAGAACACCGAUUGCGAAGGCAGCUCACGAAUCCGCGAUUGACGCUGAUGCACGAAAGCGUGGGUAUCAAACAGGAUUAGAUACCCUAGUAGUC
rnacentral:rRNA from 1 species